CGUGUGGUUUAAUUCGAUGCUACACGAAGAACCUUACCAGGGUUUGACAUACAAGUAGUAGGAAGGAAACUGACGACCCUUCGGGGAGCCUAUACAGGUGUUGCAUGGCUGUCGUCAGCUCGUGUCGUGAGAUGUUCGGUUAAGUCCGCUAACGAGCGCAACCCUCGUCGUAUGUUAUAUGUGUCAUACGAGACUGCCGGUAAAAGCCGGAGGAAGGUGAGGAUGAUGUCAAGUCAGCAUGACCUUUAUAUCCAGGGCUACACACACGCUACAAUGGUCUGUACAAUGGGUAGCCAAGCCGCGAGGCGGAGCCAAUCCUGAAAGCAGGCCUCAGUUCAGAUUGCAGUCUGCAACUCGACUGCAUGAAGCCGGAGUUGCUAGUAACCGCAGGUCAGCAAUACUGCGGUGAAUACGUUCCCGGGUCUU
rnacentral:rRNA from 1 species